AAUGUGAUUCGCGCCGUUUUAGAAUUUUAUAAAAUUCUUACCGAGAAGAUGAAUCAACUCAACACAAUUUCUCAAGGAAACUACAAAAUGGCCGACACAGAAAGGCACAUGCCGUAGCUCAGUGCAUUGUGGGUCGUAGAAUUCAUUAAUAUAAUAAACAGAAAUACAAGAAAUUGAAAAGUCUUAGAGAAGAAUGAGAUUAAGAAACAAAAGACUGUACAGAAUCUUCUAGAUAGCAUAUCGAACGUUAUGAUUCUUUGAUAAAUCACUCUUGAAAGGCUGAAGUAUAAUACAAACAUGUACAUAAAUGUGUAUAUACAGAAUUUCGUAACCUUUUUUCGUUGUAAAUUCAAAGCACCUUGAACGUUAAAAAUUGCAAAAAACGAGGAGGGUCAAAUUUGUACUAAUAAUAAUAUUCCCACUGUAUAACAUCUAAUAAUAAUAAAAAAAGAGUAAAAUAUAAUGUUAUAUUACAGUUACAUCUCGUUAAACGAUACCGAUCGUCUUUUUUGUCGAUCACUAUUUGUAAGGUGAAAAUAUUAAGCUGAAUCUAACCUGCGUACGUGUUCACGUGUAUGUAAAAAAUGUAUCGACUUGCGUGUAAACGUUGCAACAACCGGAACUUACAUAUUUUUAUUGUUAGAGGAAUAAUUUAUUUAUUAAAAUUACCUUAUGUAUUACGAAUUACAUAGUACAAUUGAAAUUAUUAAACAAAUAUCAAGUUUACAAACGUUACAGUAAAUGUUUCAUUGUAUAUAAAUAUUAAUAACAUAUUCGUUAUUUCUCAAUAAGUCUUGUAAAUGUUUGUUAUUGAAAUUCUCAAUAACUACUUAUUUCUAUUUUAUUACUAUAAUUAAAUUAGUAAAAGAUAGGAAGUAAGAUUCAAAGUCGAAAAACUGGUGAAUUACCAUUUAUUUAUUUAGAACAGCCACAUUUUUAUUGGAAACAAUUGAUCUAAUGUUGUCAAUACUGCAUUAAAAAGGAAAAAAUUGGCAAUUCUCCCUAAAAAAUAUUCAUUACAAUAAAAGAUCAUCCUUUCAAUAAAUAAUACAAUCAAUGCGGAAUCAAAGGCACAAAACUUGCAAGUUGAUAAUAUAAAAUCAGGUCUGUUACCUUAGUGUAUAAAGAAAACAAAGCAUUCAGCAUUACACACAAUAAGCCAAUAUGCAGCCUAAAACAAUUGUUUUUAAUCUCUCUCUGAAUACGUCUAUAGCGCCGAGAUACAUACUACCUAAUUCCAAAAAGAAAA